GAACCUUAUUAUAUUUAUAUAUUAAAUGUAUAUUUAAUUUUAUUUAAAUAUAUUCUAAAUAUUUUAAUGGUUUGUGCAAUCAAAAAUAAUGUUUGAAUUUUAAGUUGAAAAGAAUUCGAAUUACGAAAAUCGAUUGAAUUUAGAAAACGAUCCUAUUCGGUUUUAGAUUCAAAUCCUAAAAUAAUAUCCUAAGUCUAGCCCAAAUAGGUAAAGCCCAAUAGUAUAAACCAAUAAACCCCAUACUCCCUUCCUCCUCAACUUCACGUGAAAACAAAAACCAAAAACCCUCCCCUCAUCUUCUUCCCUUGCUUCACGUGAACCCUCAACCCUCAAGCCUUGCUGUCGUCCUCGCCGCCGCCACCACCGCCGGCGUUUCCCCUCCGUCGUCCGCCUGUUCCGUCGAGCACACAACCACCACCACCGGGUCGCUGCUGGUGCGCCACUCCUUGUCGCGCCGCCUUGCUGCACGUACGUCAACCACCACUGCCGCCCUACCGGCCAUCGCUCUUCCUCUCCUCUUUUCUUGGAUUCCCAUUCGCGCACCACCACUACAAACACGAGCAUCCACCGUUGCUGCCACCGCCGGCCACCUUGCGUCAGCCGACUAUCUGCCUUGCUGCCGCCGUCCCUGACCGCCGGCCAGCCUCCCUGUAUUCUCUCUUUUCGGCGGAGAAUUCUUUGUAGGCGACUUUUGAAUUCGUUAAAGUAACUUAUCAGUUUGUUUACACAAGUCUCUAAGGAUCAAUAAGCAUUGUCCAUUUGCAGGUUUGAAGAUGUUGCAUCAUUGGGAUCGGGAAUAGAGAGCUUGUAUUUAGUUUUGAUUUGCUAAGUUAACUUGGGUUUGUUAAUUGGGACUUUAAACUUGUCGUACUAUUUAUAUUUCCUUAUUUUCGUUGGAUGAUUUUUGGGAUUAAACCUGUAAUCGAUUAUUUAUAAACCUAAAGUUAGUUUUAUGU